UGGUUAAAAAGCUCGUAGUUGGAUCUCAACAGCCCUGAAGCGGUUAACUUUGUAGUUUUACUGCUUUAUAGGCUGUGCUUUUGCUGGAGGUUUAGGGGUGCUCUUGAUCGAGUGUCUCUGGAUGCCAGCAGGUUUACUUUGAAAAAAUUAGAGUGCUCAAAGCAGGCUAAAAUGCCUGAAUAUUCGUGCAUGGAAUAAUAGAAUAGGAUGUCGAUCCUAUUUUGUUGGUUUUCGGGACUCGACAUAAUGAUAAAUAGGGACAGUCGGGGGCAUUUGUAUUCAAACGACAGAGGUGAAAUUCUUGGACCGUUUGAAGACAAACUACUGCGAAAGCAUUUGCCAAGAAUGUUUUCAUUAAUCAAGAACGAAAGUUAGAGGUUCGAAGGCGAUUAGAUACCGCCCU
rnacentral:rRNA from 1 species